rnacentral:rRNA from 1 species
CUUUCGGGGUCAGCGGCGGACGGGUGAGUAACGCGUCACAACGUGCCUUCCGGUUCGGAAUAACCCUGGGAAACUAGGGCUAAUACCGGAUACGCCCUUUUGGGGAAAGGGAAACUGCUGAAGGAUCGGCCCGCGUCUGAUUAGCUAGUUGGUGGGGUAACGGCCUACCAAGGCGACGAUCAGUAGCUGGUCUGAGAGGAUGAUCAGCCACACUGGGACUGAGACACGGCCCAGGCUCCUACGGGAGGCAGCAGUGGGGAAUAUUGGACAAUGGGCGCAAGCCUGAUCCAGCCAUGCCGCGUGAGUGAUGAAGGCCUUAGGGUUGUAAAGCUCUUUUAUCCCGAACGAUAAUGACGGUACCGGAGGAAUAAGCCCCGGCUAACUUCGUGCCAGCAGCCGCGGUAAU